rnacentral:rRNA from 1 species
UACGGGGGGUGCGAGCGUUGUCCGGAAUCACUGGGCGUAAAGGGCGCGUAGGUGGCAUGAUAAGGGUGUGGUGAAAGCCCGGGGCUCAACCCCGGGUCUGCCAUGCCGACUGUCACGCUAGAGUACUGUAGGGGCAGGCGGAAUUCCGGGUGUAGCGGUGAAAUGCGCAGAUAUCAGGAAGAACACCGGUGGCGAAGGCGGCCUGCUGGGCAGUAGCUGACGCUGAUGCGCGACAGCGUGGGGAGCAAACAGG